rnacentral:tRNA from 1 species
GCGCAGGUAUGCAAACGGUGAAGCAAGCGGUCUGUAAAACCGUGACCCAUGUGGUAAACACUGUAGGUUCGAAUCCUACCCGGCGCA